ensembl:snRNA U2 U2 spliceosomal RNA
AUCGCUUCUCAGCCUUUUGGCUAAGAUCAAGUAUAGUAUCAAUAGCCAAUGAUCUUUAUAAGUCAUUAUAAAUGCAUAUUAAAUAAUAAAUGCUUU